AACAUCUUUAUGCACAUCCCAGAGGAGGUCACAGUCCCCAAGGAUCGAGUAUUUCAUUCUGCGGCUUUCUGUGUCACUAAUACACAGAAAAAUAGGAAGGUCGAGUCUCCUCAAACAAAAUAUUGGAGAUCAUCUGACAUCUACAUUCUGAAGGAUGUGAGUUCUCAGCUGCUGCUCCACCACCUUGCUGGUCUUCCUGUUGCUGCAUGCCCCACCACGAUGAUCAUGGGCUCACCCUCUGAACUGUAAGCUCCAAACAAACCCUUUCUUCUAUACAUUCCUUAGGUCAUGGUGUCUUAACACAGCAAUGGAAGAGUAACUAAGACACUAAGGGAAAGAAACAGAUUUUGAACUUUAAAAUCCCUCUUUUAAAGUGAUAGAAAUGUUUGUGUGUUUGUCUCAAUUGUUAACAAUCUCCCAAUAAAAUCCAGUAUUUUGAAAUGUGAGAAUGAAGAGUUCUGUCUUAUCUGGGGUAUACCCUUAAUAUUUUCAGUUUGGAACUUGAAUUGGCAUGCUUAUACUAAGAUUCUGCAAUAUUAUUUUUGUCAUUGGCUAAGUAAUAUUGCUUUCAGCUAGUAUAAUUUUAUUCAGCUUGUGAAAGACUUCAUGCAUGUUGACUCUAGUGAUCUCUUCUUCCAUGUCUUUGCCACAAUAAAAAAAAAAAAAAAAAA